rnacentral:rRNA from 1 species
GACGGAGGAUGCAAGUGUUAUCCGGAAUCACUGGGCGUAAAGCGUCUGUAGGUGGUUUACAAAGUCCACUGUUAAAAAUUGAAGCUUAACUUCAAAGAUGCCGUGGAAACUUUUAAACUUGAGGAUGAUAGGGGUAGAGGGAAUUUCCAGUGGAGCGGUGAAAUGCGUAGAUAUUGGAUAGACCACCAAUGGCGAAGGCACGCUACUGGGAGAGUACUGACACUGAGGGACGAAAGCUAGGGGAGCGAAUGGG